AAAACAAGUAAUGUAUGUUACCAUCAGGCCACUAACCAUUUUAAAUUUGGUAUCUAGUCCAGACUCAAACCCCAGUCUCUAAAAAUAGUGGAUCAUCUAUCCACGGCACCUGUUUCCCAGGGACAGAUCUUGAACAAUUUCAAAAAUUCUUGGCAACUCUGCUUUGGAGAUAAUUAUUAAGGGAUGGAUUAUGUAAAUUGUACAUAUCCUGUAUUAAGGAUCAGUGGAAUAAUGUGCCAGAGAAGCAGAAUGCCCUCUGAGAGUUUCCAGAGCUCACCAGAAGUGCACACACUGCAAUUCCUUUCACAGAGGCGGCAUACUCCAACACACACGUGGCUGGCUGACACAUCCAAAUGGCCUUAGCGCUAUCUCCUCCCUGCACUUCCCAUCCCCUUUGGGGCACAGUAGUUGGGCAGGUAGGGAGUAAUCCUUACACUUCUUAGUAUGUAGGGGUUGCAAUUUUGCCUGGCCUUUAUGCAGGUCAUGCUGGGUUGGGGAAGUCUCUAUCCCCUUCCCUUACACUGCACACCAAAAGGGCCAGGCAGAAUCUGGCAAUUCAACAAUUUUAAUAGUAUUGUUAGUUUAUUUAUUUGUAUUGUGAUUACACCUAGAGUCCCCAAUAUGCUAGUCAGUGUAUAAACACAUAACCACAAACCAGUCUCUCCCCAAGAAAUUUACAAACAUAAACCCAGUAUUUCAAAUAUUUUAAUUUGCCACCAUUUUAAUCAUAUGUCUAAUAAUAAUUAGGUCAGGUACAACCUAAAUACAAGAUUGAUCGCUAAUUUUUUCCUACCUUAUAAUGGGCAGUUUUUAAGUUUGCUAGCCCUUGUUUAUUGUCCCAUGGAAAAACUAUACAUUAUCAUUCAUAUAUUGACAUAUUUCACAAAUUUCCACUUUCUUUCUAGCUUAACUGAAAGAGCUCAACUACUGAAGAAUGUCUUUAAGAAGAGUCCUGUGAACUUGUACCGCUCUGAAUCUCUGCAGCAAAACUUGCUUCAUGGCUAUGCAUUCUCUCAAGAUGAAAAUGGAAUAGUUUCCCAAUCUGAAGUAAUAAGAGCUUAUGAUACCACAAAACAAAGACCUGAUGAAUGGUGAAGGAAUACAGCUUGCAACAGAGAGCCCUUAGAAUUACUUAAGUAAGACAAACUACUAGAUUUUUGCUAGGAUCUGCUAGCAGGAUCCAGUCACAAAGAUUACAAGAAGAUCCAUGAUGAUCUUAUUUCAUAAAGUUUGAAAGUGUAUUCAAUAGACAUGAGCACUGUGCAACUCUACUGUAACACACCAUCUCUUUGCAUUUUUCACAAGUAUUUGCUUUGUCUUUGUAAAAAGGGGUUGAAAAUUACCUUGUGUUUUGCCAGAUCACUUAUUUACAACGAGGCUGAAUCAGUAUUGUUCAUAUAUCAUAUUACUUGGGACGUCAUUAAUGGUCAGAUUACCACUAUACAUAGAUUAUUAACAUUUGUGCAGGUUUAUAAGUGGCUAUACAUUUAAAGUAAAGUUGGUAACAAGCUUUUGAUUUCAACAAGUGCUGACAAACCAACAUUUUAAUGGUGUUAACUCACCUUAUUAAGCAAGAUUUCAAACCAAGGUGUCUAUAGGUGUUUGGGUGAAACUAGCCUAAAAAAUAUGUUUGCCAAAGAAGUUCCAUAAUUGCAAUUCUCAAGAAUCUCUAGUAUCAUUUGCAGGGAAAUUUAAAAUGAAAUUAAUUUAAAGUCCUGAUGUCAGAAAUGCAUGCUUGAUUCUCCAUACUUGAUAAAAAAUACAGCAUAAUGAGCCUAAUUGGAGUUGCCUUUAUGGCACUAGCUUUCAAAUCUGUGAAACUUUGCACCUUUGGUCUGAUACAAGCUUUUUAUUUUUUAUUGUUUAAUAUGGCUGCCACUUUUUAGUAUGGUGCUCAUAUUUCUGAGUUUUGUUCAAAUUACAAACAAUAUGAAAAUUGCUCUGUCUUACCUUUCUUCAUCAUAAUUUUAGCCAUUUUUGCAAUGCUUGUGCUUUAUAUGCGCAUCUGGUCACAAUUUGAUCAGAAAAGUUUGUCCUAAUUCAUAAAGACAGAUUAGCUAUUUAUGGGCUUUUCACCAUCUUUAUUCUAGUUAUCUAGAACAUGACUUGUUAAAGCAAUGUAUGCCCUUUAGCCUGUGUGGUGUGUACUCUUCCAUUUGCACCAGAAUCACCUCCUACUAUGCACCCAAAUAUACUGAAGUAGUUCUUUACAGCUUAUCUGUAACAUAGCAAACCUCCAUACUCUCAGCUUUUAACAAAAAUGGAGGGAAAAUGCACAAAAGAAAACAAAAUUUUCCACAGUUUGCUCAACUCGGCAGUGUAAAAGUUACACUUCUCACCAGGAGUAACUGUAAUAAGAAAUUUUAAAAAAUGAAUUACAUUUGGCAUGUCUCUGCCCACUCUUAAAUGAUGGCCUAACUUCUUCAGAUGUUACGUUUAUUUGUGACAAUGGCACAAUCAGAGUCCAAUUUAAUUUUUUUUUUAAAUUUGUCUGUUUUAAUACUGACCUAAAGUCCACUAUAAUAAUUUAAUUUUAAUUUUAUUUUAUAUGGAGAAAAUGCUUCUUAAUUUUUAAAUUUUUCAUACUGCUAGGCUAAGUAAAAUAGAUACAGUUUUACUUUGAACAGCAGUUGUCUGAGAAUGGAACAGAAAUUUUCCCAUUCUCCUUUCAGGUUAUUAAGAACUUCAUUCUUAUCACUUUUUGUCCUCAAAAUCAUCCAAUCUAGGUUGUAAAUAACAAGCAGUAUAUCACUUAAGCUAUCCUACCAAUAAUUUCUUGACUAUUCAUAUACUUAUUAAGUAUAAAACUUUGUCCCCUGGCCUUUCAGCACUAUGCAGGCUUCACAUCUCACUUCACUACACUACGCAACUUCCUUACCUCUCAUUUUGAGAAAAUAUACAAAUCACAUCAUACAUCAAAGCCCCAGCAAGGAAGACACCAUAUGAAAGUACAUACUUAGGAGGACAAAUUGAUGGAACGGCCCUCCACAUUUCAUAUGUAUGUUAUGCAUUCUCUUCCUCUCCCUUUCCCUGAGUGAUCUUUAAACACAAGAGAACACAGAAGACACAGGGACAAAGAAAACGUAUUCCACUAGAAACAGCACUGUUAGUCAGUCAUGCAGAGAAGAACUGCCUUCAGAAAAGCCAUUUCAGGCAUAGAUAAAUAGAUGGAUCAAUAUGGGAGGGCCAUAUCACUUGACCUAAGGCAAGAAAAAAAAAUUGGGGGCAUGCCUCUUUCUUAAAAUAUGGAUCCCUAUUUUUGACAUCCAUCAGAGAAUGACUGACUUCAACAAAUUUCUUAAAUGACAUUCCUCAGUGACUUAACUAAUAUAAAACAAUUCUCAGUCCCUGCCUCUUUUUAAAAGUAAAUGCAUUUUUAAAAAUCCUUUUCAGUUGUAAAAGGCAUAAAUAUUGAUUUGGCAAAAAUUAUGCAAAGCAAAGCAAUGUAGUGUAAACCAUUGUAUUGUGAUGAAAUUUACAAGCAGCUUCACUUAUCCUGGGUUUACCUUCCUAUAAAAUAAAGCGUGCUAUAUUUACAAGAAUUCAGAAAAUUAAGAUGCCCAGCUACCUACAGUUGGUGACACAAAUGACAUGCAGUUUAGUCCCAUUCCACUUUUAUUUAUUGCUAAGAAGGUAGAGGGCUAUUAGCACAUCUUGCUGAGACCCUGGACUCAUAUUGGAAUUCUGGCUGGUGAUGUUGCAUUAUGUUAUAUAUUGCUCUAUUUCCAAAGCUGGUGUAAGCUCAUCAUCCUGUGUGUCGUCCUUGUGUGAUUUUACACAUUUUAAUUUUAAGUAGUGCCCCACAAAAUGUAUUUUGAGUUUGAGUUGGUAUAUGUACUUUUAUUCCCCAAUUGUAAGUCUGUUUUGGAUUUUUUUUUUUUACACAUACUAGAUGUUGCUUAUUGUCUGAUGGUAAUCAAUUGUGAGAUAAUAGUCCUGCUUAGAAAGUUAGUAAAAAAUGCUUUUUUACUGCUUAUACAGUUCCACUUCAAAAUGUGCCUGUGUAAAACAGAUUUUUUUUUUAAAUCAGUUCAGGUAUACAAUACACAGUUUAUUUGCACAUUGUUAAAGUGCAUAGAAAGAUAGUAUAUUAUUUAUUUAGUAUACCACGUGUUUGUUUAUUUGAGCCAUUGGUUAUGCAGGUAUUUAUUUUAAUGAAAAAAAUAGUUUAGUCAAAUUACAAUAGCUAAUCAUAAUGCAUUUAUUCUGAUCACUUAAACCUUUAAUUUUGUGUGAAUAAAGUCCAAUAUGGAAUUCACAUGGUAAUUUGCAGUCUGCCUUAUGUGCACUGCAUGACAAUUACAAACUAUCAUUAAAAAAUGUUCCUUCAAUUAAGCCAAAACAGUGCCAGUCAGAAAUCAAUCGAUCUUGUGUGCAUAUUGUUAUUUUAAUUACUUAUAAGAAUGCAACAGUUAUUCAAAAGGUUAAUUAAUUGUUAAGAAAUUUUAUUAAGCUUAAUCAUCAUUUGUAUUUGGACUUUCUUUUGCCAUUUCCUGAAUUUAGGCUUAUAUGUGGAAAGCAGCCUCAAUAGAUAUAUAAUAAAUCAUAUUUCUAUUUGUGUCAAAAUGACAGAGAAAAUAUUUUGAGACAGUAACAGAUUGCUAAAGAUUCCCAUAAACCCCUUAAAAUCCACCAUAUCACAAAAAAAUAUUUUACAAAAUGUCACAAGGAGCUUCCUUUGUUGCCUUAACCUUGAAUUAGAAUGUACAUUAAAUUGAAGGAAGGGAAAAUAGUGUUUUCCCAUUUUUUUUUUAAUCUUGAUUUAUAUUGUAUAAAAGCAGCUGUAAGUUUGGGCCCUUUGUUUUUUACGUAUUUUGAAUUAAACAUAAGCUUUUCCAUACAUUCAACAAUUAGUAAUUGCAAAGCUGUGAUCAGAACAUGUAAAGCUAAAAUCAUGUUUUAGUGUUUCUUUAUUCUAGACUAGAAGCCAUAAAUGCAUUAAUAUUGUUUUUCUCGUUUGACUUGAUUUUUCAUUAAGUAUUUCAGUGUUUCAUAAGUAUAAAUUGCUGUGAAAGACAGCUACUAUGUCAAAGCAAAGUUUGCGUUCAAGGUAAGGUAGGAUUUUCCAGCUCCACUGAACCAUUACUGCUGAAACUGUUGUGGAAAUUGUGAAGCUGCAUGAAUGGAGAGUUAUUGACUCAGUGUUUAUGGUAGUUUUUCUCAGGUUUAGUUUUAACUGGACAUUAAAUGCCCUGUGUGUUUUAUUAAAUUUUAGUAACGCUUUCAGUUCAAUGCAGUGUUACAUGUCAUUGGCAUUUUGUGAAUGUGCAUGUUUUGAACUGCAAAUUUUUAAUGUUUUGUCUUUUAAUUGUUAUUAUAAAAUUGAAUAAACUUUGCCAUUAAAUAAAAAAGAC